rnacentral:rRNA from 1 species
GGACGAACAGCCACACUGGGACUGAGACACGGCCCAGACUCCUACGGGAGGCAGCAGUGGGGAAUAUUGGACAAUGGGCGAAAGCCUGAUCCAGCAAUGCCGCGUGUGUGAAGAAGGCCUGCGGGUUGUAAAGCACUUUCAGUUGGGAAGAUGAUGACGUUACCAACAGAAGAAGCACCGGCUAACUCCGUGCCAGCAGCCGCGGUAAUACGGAGGGUGUAAGCGUUAAUCGGAAUUACUGGGCGUAGAGCGCGCGUAGGCGGCUAGGUCAGUCAGAUGUGAAAGCCCCGGGCUUAACCUGGGAACUGCAUUUGAUACUGCCUGGCUAGAGUGUGGUAGAGGGAAGUGGAAUUCCAGGUGUAGCGGUGAAAUGCGUAGAUAUCUGGAGGAGCACCAGUGGCGAAGGCGACUUCCUGGACCAACACUGACGCUGAGGUGCGAAAGCGUGGGUAGCAAACAGGAUUAGAUACCCUGGUAGUCCACGCCGUAAACGAUGUCAACUAGCCGUCGGAUCCAUUUAAGGGUUUGGUGGCGCAGCCACCGCGAUAAGUUGACCGCCUGGGGAGUACGGCCGCAAGGUUAAAACUCAAAGGAAUUGACGGGGGCCCGCACAAGCGGUGGAGCAUGUGGUUUAAUUCGAUGCAACGCGAAGAACCUUACCAGCCCUUGACGUCCUCGGAACUUUCCAGAAAUGGAUUGGUGCCUUCGGGAACCGAGUGACAGGUGCUGCAUGGCUGUCGUCAGCUCGUGUCGUGAUAUGUUGGGUUAAGUCCCGUAACGAGCGCAACCCUUGUCCUUAGUUGCCAGCACAUAAUGGUGGGAACUCUAAGGAGACUGCCGGUGACAAACCGGAGGAAGGUGGGGAUGACGUCAAGUCAUCAUGGCCCUUAUGGGCUGGGCUACACACGUGCUACAAUGGCCGGUACAGAGGGCUGCAAACCCGCGAGGGGGAGCCAAUCUCACAAAACCGGUCGUAGUCCGGAUCGCAGUGUGCAACUCUACUGCGUGAAGUCGGAAUCGCUAGUAAUCGCAGAUCAGAAUGCUGCGGUGAAUACGUUCCCGGGCCUUGUACACACCGCCCGUCACACCAUGGGAGUGGGUUGCAAAAGAAGUGGGUAGCCUAACCUUCGGGAGGGCGCUCACCACUUUGUGAUUCAUGACUGGGGUGAAGUCGUAACAAGGUAGCCGUAGGGGAACCUGCGGCUG